UUCCUCCUGAAUGACAAUUCCCACGGGCACGUUUUCAGUUUGACCAUCAUAAAACUGAGUCUACAGGACGCAGGCCUCUAUUACUGUGGAAUAGAAACAUGGGGCAGAGACUGGAUGGUAAAAGUAAAAGUGACUGUCAGUAAAGAUUACUCAAGGGAAACUGCCACAGUCCCACUGACAUUGGAUGGAAACAACGGUGUUCCAGACAGCCUUGUUGUGGUUGGUGCAGCUCUGGGUGUGUUGGCGUGUCUAAUUAUGGCUGCUCUUGUGGCCAUACUCAGAGGAACAUCAGUUUCAAAGUCACUUG